UACGAAAUCUGUGUAUUUAAGAUUUAUUUUCUAUACUAAAAUAAAUUUUACAUCAAUAAAAUUUUUGUAUGGUGCUUUCAAUUAUGACUUAGAGAUUGCUGGUUAACGGACACGCUUAACAGUAAAGUGGAAGGGGAGUAACAGGUCGCUAUAUUCACACUCCUUGUAACGGUUGCUCGCGGAAAUACACGAGACUCUUAGCGAUUCAUCAGUCAAUCAGGAAUGCAGUCGAAUUUCUUAAUUUACGAAGCCUGGGGGAUUAAUUCGAGCUUCUGUUCCUACUAUUGCCAAUGCUGAGGAUAGCAGGAUUCUAAGGAAAAGUUUCAUGUUUUUCUUUGCACAAAAGGUAAAUGUUAGGACCCCGCUUUUAAUAUGGCAGCUGAAUCUAAUUGAGCUUCAAGAUGCAUCUAAUAAUCAUAAAACCAUAUGAAUAGGUUUUACUUACCGGGAACCAAACGUGCAUCGGUAGCUACAAGAGAUAAAGCUAAGGAUAGCAGGAUUCCCAGGAGGACCUUCAUAUUUUCGUUAGUGAUCGGUAUUAAGAUUGCAACUGGAACUAUGUUUGUCCAGUUAUAUCCAAGAAGCAGGAAGUGAAAUAUAUUUUUACUUAAGCGUUAUGGCUUAUGUGACUUUAGUUUUAAGAAAUCUUUUUGAUUCGGAAUUAAUUUCUAUAUUAAAAUCGUUUUGAUUUAAAUAUUGGGUUGAAUAUUCGAUUUUUAUUUUACAGAUUCAUCUUAGAAUCAUAAAACCAUAGGAAUAGAAUCCUACGAAUCCCUUCCUUCAUUUGCGGGAACCAAACGAGCAUCGGUGGCUACAAGGGAUAAAGCUAAAGAUAGCAGGACACCCAGGAAGAACUUCAUGUUUUCUGUAGUGAUCGGUGAGUUCUAAUG